rnacentral:misc_RNA from 1 species
CCUAAAAUCACCAGAAUCAUGCUAUGAGGUAUCACUCCUGAUGAUAAUUUGAUUUGAGAGCUCAUUUCCUGGCCUGGUAAUUGGAUUUAACUUUUCAUUAAUGCUUUUAGGGUGCAAAGUUGGAAAAUAGGAGUGCCGGCCUACCUCCCCUCGAUCCUUCUCUGGUAGAUUUUGACAUCAAUACUGUGCAGGUGUGGUUCCUUUAUAUAUUAAGGUGUCCUUACCUUCAUACAAAGUUGUGUACCCACCCCCCG